rnacentral:tRNA from 1 species
GUUUAAAUAAUUUAAAUAAAGUACUAGAUUGUGAUUCUAGAAACAAGAGUUAAACCCUCUUUUUAAACC